rnacentral:lncRNA from 1 species
ACAUCUAUCUCGCCACUUUCAAUAUCAAUCAUCGCCUGUUUUGUUUUAUUAUUAAAAUAUUUAAAAUAUUACUGUCAAUAUGUUAAAAUCGUAUAUCGUGUGUGAAAAAUUAAAAGCUUUUAGUAUACAAAAAAAAUAAAUAUAAUAAUAAAUGCUAGUAUGGCAACAUAAUAAUAAUAAUUUCCCCCCUCCCCAUAGCUCUACAUUUAUACUAGCUCGUGAUAAAAAUAUAGCGCAGAGGUCCAACACGUUGAGCAUUUUUUUUUUUUUUUUUUUUUUUUCCCCACUUCUUAUGAACAAACAAGUUUAGUAUAAAUGACAAUAUGCUUAACAAAAUUACAAUGGCUAGUGUCUCUACUUAUUUUUAUUGUUUUGUUUCAAAAGUUGUUUGUAUGUAGUUCUAGACAUGUGAGCUCGACCAAAAUUAUAUUAAAUUUUCCUAACGUUAUAUUCACUUUGAACAGCUGUUUUCAUCUUAAAAAAAAAAGAAUAAAAAAAAACGAACCACGAGCAAACGGCUUUUUCAUUUACAAUAAACAUAAAAUAAACGAAAAUAUAAACAACAAAUUUGGAAAUUAUAAUUAUGUAUCUGGUUUUAAUAAAAAAUUAUUAAAUUUUAAACGUGGCAUUAUUCUUAUAAGGACACGCAAAAUAUUGAUUAGAAGCUCUAACAAACCUGAAAACCACCAAACUGUGACACAUACUAGUAAUAAUAAUAGUAAUAGUAAUAAUAGUAAUAGUAAUAAUAGUAUUAAUAAUAAUAUUAGCGAUGAUUGUAAUAAGAAGAACAUAUCACAUCUACCAUUAAAUUUGAAUAAAAGUGAUGAAACAACACACACGAGAAGAGUUUUUUUAACUGAUACUAAGUAUUAUACUCGAAGUAAAUAUUCUAAAGCAGGGGUAAUAAAAAAAGAAAAUAAAAAUGCAUAUAUAAAUAAUAACAACAACAACAACAACAACAAUAAUAAUAAUAAUAAUAACAACAAUAAUAAUAAUAAUAAUAACAAAGCAGAAGGUACCAAAUUGAACAACGUCUUUUAUGAUGACAAUAUUAUAAUAAGUAGAUGUUAUGAAGAGUCAAUAGAAGAAUUAAAAAAAGAUAAAACCAAAAAUCGAUUAUCAUCAAAUGAUAACACUGUUAAUCUUCCUUACGUUUUAUUAAAAAAAUAUUAUGAAGACAUAAACAGGGAAAAUGAUUUAGAUUUAUUCCAAAAUUGGGAAACAAAAAAUACGAACAUAUUAAUAAAAGACGGAAAAAAUGAUAUCAACAGGACUUAUUCAGAAAAACAUACAACAUCGAUAAGUUAUUUAUGGCGUAAUGGACAGCCAAGUGAUCAAAAUAACGUAAUGCAUGAAAAAAAUCAUGAGAAAAAUCAUGAAAAAAACCAUGAAAAAAACCAUGAAAAAAACCAUGAAAAAAANNNNNNNNNNCAUGAAAAAAACCAUGAAAAAAACCAUGAAAAAAACCAUGAAAAAAAUCAUGAAAAAAAUCAUGAAAAAUUCGAUGAUAGCCAAUACACAGUAAUAGGAGAAAUUGUGGGAGCACAUGGAUUAAAUGGUUGGUUAAAGGUAAUAAGUUAUACUACAUUUAAUGACAUUAGAUUUAAAAAAAAUGCAUAUAGAUACAUUUUUAUGAAUAAAAAUUAUAACUCAUAUCCGACUCCAUUGCCAAUAAAAAUUAUUGAAGUAAAACCAUCUCAGAAGGUUGGUUUUUAUUUUAUCAAAAUUGAAAAUAUAUUAACUCGAACAGAUGCAUUAAAAUUAAAAAAUUGUUUAUUAUGUGAUGACAAAAAACAUAUACCAACAAUUAAUAAUAAUAAAUAUAUAUCUACAGAUUUAUUGAAUUUUAAUAUAUACAUAUUUAAUGAUUUUACAAACACAGCCUUAGGAAAAGUUCAUAGUUUUUUAUCAAAAUAUGAUUAUAUAUAUAGUAAAUCCAUUCAAGACAUAGCAGAGGAUUUAAUAAAAAUACAACUUAAUCAUAAUAUAUCUAUUCAACAAGUUUUUAAUAUUCUAAAGGCGUCGAAGAUAGUGCAAACCACGAAAGAACAAACAGACACACACAAUAACAAUGGUUCUGAUCAACCAAUUAAAUUACUCAUAAAUAAGACUAGUUUUAAGUUUUAUCAGCAACAUCAACAACACUAUAACAAUAAUUUGGUUAAUCUAAAUACGGAUGAACAAAAUGAGAAACAAAUAGAAGGAGAUAAACAUUACUAUGAUUCCAUAGACGAAUUCGAUGGUUGUUCAUAUAAACAAGUUUACAAAUGUGAUUAUUGUGAUAAUAUUUAUGAUAAUAUAAAAGAAGUCGCAGAACAUGAAAAUAUGCAUUUCAAAUCAGAUGAGGAAUUAUUGUAUUAUGCAUCCAGCGAUUAUAAAAAUAAGGAACUGCUUAAUCCCUUAACUGAACAAAAUCUUAAGCGUUUUAAAAAAAAAAUUGAUUACUUCUUCAUUCCCAUAGUUAAAGAAAAAACUAUAAGAUCUGUGCAAUAUGAAGAAAAAAAAAUGUACUUGGACAUAUCUACUGUUUUUUUGUUGGAUGAUCAGAAAUAAUUUCACUUUUAAAAAACUAGAAACAUGUUUUAUUUUGUUACGCGUUUGCUACAUUUACU